rnacentral:lncRNA from 1 species
AACUCUAUAACAAUUGUUUUCUCUUCUCCUUCCUCUUUUUAUUCUUUUAUUUUUUUUGAAGGAGUAUGUAUUGACAUGUAUUGAAAUAUUACAAAUAUAAUUGCUUUGUUUUUCUUCCUCUUAUUCUUCUAUUUUUUCUUCCUCUUUUUUUUCUUUUCUAUUUUCUUUUUCUAUUUUCUAUUUUUGUUUUUGUUUUUUGUUUUUUUUUUCUUUUUCUGCCAACUACUGAAAUAUUACAAACAGAAUUAUUCAACCUCACACAACUCCAAACAAGACUCUUUCAACCCUUUGAAUAGAGUGAUAACAUUGUUUUUCACUUUUCGGCUUGUAAUGAGUUUUAAACAAAAAAAGGAUAAUAGGCUCAAGGGGGUUUCAAACAAUGGAUGCAAUUAUUUUAGGGUUGACUUUUUGGCUAACUGGCUAAAAAAACAAAAAAAAACAAAAUUGCCUUUAUCAUAUCAAUGUGCACAAGUAAACAAC